UUUCCUUUUAUUUCUCCACUAGAUCUGUCCUUGUCAUUUCUCAAAGCCUUUCAAGAUCUACCUGUUUAUUGAAAGUUUUCCUUCUAUGAGAGGAGAUACCUAUAGAGAAAGAGAAUGGAAAAGGGAAAAUGUGAGUACAGAGAAAUUGGCACUGAUUUCCAUCACAAAAAGAGACUCUACAAAGCUCUGGAGGAAAGUUACACCACCGCAUAGGCUGAUGUUGGGUUUCACACAUCUACAAUCACAGAGCUUGGACUAGCCUACAUAUGUAACAAUGUUAAACUGAGUGCAUGUCUUUGUAUAUGAAGAAGGAACCUAAGUGUGUUUGUAAAAAAAAAAAAAAAUGAUUGAAAGAAGUGUUGCCUGUUGUGCCAGAACCAUACUUAUUCUUAUGUAAAUCCUUGGCUUGGUUAUAAUUUUUGUUGAUUCAAACCAUUUGUCAAGAUGAAAAAGUCUCAUCAUGCUAUUGUGUGGUAUGUGUGUGUUGUUCAUUCUUGAGCUUCCUUCAGUUGUAACAGAAAUUAGUGAUUGUGCUUGGAUAUUCUUUUUGCAUCUUUGACUUUUUAAAAGAUUUUCAUAGUAUAUAUAAAUGCAAAAGCAGAUCUUGAUCUGCUUCAAUACUUCCAUGGUGAAUUGUUGUUUUUAAACU
rnacentral:lncRNA from 1 species